rnacentral:rRNA from 1 species
UACGGAGGGAGCUAGCGUUGUUCGGAUUUACUGGGCGUAAAGGGCGCGUAGGCGGCCAGCGCAAGUCAGUUGUGAAAUCUCCGGGCUUAACUCGGAAAGGUCAACUGAUACUGCGCGGCUAGAGUGCAGAAGGGGCAACUGGAAUUCUCGGUGUAGCGGUGAAAUGCGUAGAUAUCGAGAGGAACACCUGCGGCGAAGGCGGGUUGCUGGGCUGACACUGACGCUGAUGCGCGAAAGCCAGGGGAGCGAACGGG